GACGAACGCUGGCGGCGUGCUUAACACAUGCAAGUCGAACGGAUUGCUUGGUGCUUGCACUGAGUGGUUAGUGGCGAACGGGUGAGCAACACGUGAGUAACCUGCCCCCUUCUUUGGGAUAAGCACCUGAAAGGGUGUCUAAUACUGAUUAUUCUGCUGGAAUCGCAUGGUUUUGGUUGGAAAGGUUUUUCUGGUGGGGGAUGGGCUCGCGGCUUAUCAGCUUGUUGGUGGGGUAAUGGCUUACCAAGGCUUUGACGGGUAACCGGCCUGAGAGGGUGACCGGUCACAUUGGGACUGAGAUACGGCCCAGGCUCCUACGGGAGGCAGCAGUGGGGAAUAUUGCACAAUGGACGAAAGUCUGAUGCAGCGACGCCGCGUGAGGGAUGAAGGCCUUCGGGUUGUAAACCUUUUUCGCUUUUGACCAAGGCAGCAUUUUGGUGUUGUUGGGGGUAUGAGGUAAAGAAGCUCCGGCUAACUACGUGCCAGCCGCCGCCGUAAUAC
rnacentral:rRNA from 1 species